rnacentral:misc_RNA from 1 species
ACAACCCUUCAAGCUCUGCUUGGUGUUGGGCGUUUGUCCGCGCCUCUCCGCGCGUGACUCGCCCCAAAGGCAUUGGCAGCCCCGGCCGACGAACGCCCUCGCAGCACAACUUGCGCAGGGACCGGCGGCGUCGGGUGGCGACCCAUCAAGAUCUCCUUCCACG